GGCUAAAAUAAUACUGCUCUUUAUGCAGGUAGAGUCUAGAAUAGAUACAUACAAUUUAAAAGUAAUACUGUGCAAGACUGCAGAGUGUUUCAGUCAGCAGGAGCAACUGCUGAUACUGUGCUGAUUCAUGAGCAUCCUUCAGAGCCACAGAGGUGUACAUAAGAGAAGCAGUAACAUGGAUCGUUAGCAAUCCUGGGAAAUAGUAUUUCAUCCUGUAAGAAUCUACUUCAUCCAUGCCAUCUGAGAGGGAAGGUGAAGCAGGAUAAUUAAUUUUUGUUUUUGCUUAAGUUCUCCCAAAUUCCAAAUCAGAGUCUGCCUUCUCUGAAAUGUACCCAGAAAAUAUCACUCAAGUCAUCAAAUAAUGACUUUUCUUUUUUCCUACUCUUACUCCACACUGCCCUAGCCCAUUCUAAGUGGGUAGAGGCAGGAGGGUGGGGCUUCCUGUCACCAAGUGUGGGCUCCAGGAGGGUUUGUUGGGUGAAAUGAUUGGUUGCAGGAGCAGGAACAUCUCCAGAUCAAGUCAUGACACUCACUGCCCAGGGUGUAUUUACUGUUUUACAGUGAAAAUGUCCCAGCAAGAAGUGGAAACAUCAUGAAGCCACUAGUGGGCCCUGUGCUGGGGCUUCUGUUGGCCCAUGUUUGCUGUGUGAGAGGAGUGGAUGUGGAGCAGAGUCCCCCAGCCCUGAGUCUCCAGGAGGGAGCCAGCUCCACGCUCUGGUGCAAUUUUUCCAUCUCCACACAGAGUGUGUACUGGUAUCGUCAGACGAACGGGGGCCGUCUCGACCACUUGUUUUCCAUUCCUUCAGGGACCAAGCGGAAUGGAAGAUUAAACGCCACGACAGUUGCUAAAGAUCGCUGCAGCUCGCUGUACAUUUCCUCUGCCCAGAUCACAGACUCAGCCACAUACUUCUGCGCUGUGGAGCACAGCGCUCCACAGGCACCUGCAGCCUGUACAGGAACUCUCCGCGGGGCUCAGCCCCUCCUCCAGCCACAGUCACACCACGAGGCCACCACAGGGCAUUCACAUUGCUUACUAUUUAGCUACACUGGUACAAUUUUAACCACAGACACUUUUUGGCAUACAGUUUUGGGACUUUUGGACCUUGUCGUCCUUCUCAAUUUAGAUCUCUUUCUGCGCUAGAAAUUUUUAUACUUGUAACUAGCAAAGUAGCUGAUAAGAGGACGGAGCUAAAUAUGUAAUCACAGUGUGCUGGACUCCAAAAUGGUGAAACGUGAAAUAAAAUUGGAGAAAAUCACUCCAAUAAAGAUGUUAUCCCGUUUAGUUGGGUGUCUCAGGAAUAUUAAUUCUGCUCCACGACACUGUGUCCCAACAGGAAAAUGCAAAUGCUCACAUCCCAUCCUACUAGUGCUGCUAAGCAAACAACAAUUUAAAAAAACCUUAGUC